CGGCGUGCCUAAUACAUGCAAGUCGAACGCUUCACUUCGGUGAAGAGUGGCGAGGGGGUGAGUAAUACAUAAGUAACCUGGCAUCUACGGGGGGAUAACUGAUGGAAACGUCAGCUAAGACCGCAUAGGUGUAGAGAUCGCAUGAACUCUAUAUGAAAAGUGCUACGGGACUGGUAGAUGAUGGACUUAUGGCGCAUUAGCUUGUUGGUAGGGUAACGGCCUACCGAGGCGGCGGAGGGGUAGCCGACCUGAGAGGGUGACCGGCCCCACUGGGACUGAGACACGGCCCAGACUCCUACCGGGAGGCAGCAGUAGGGAAUUUUCGGCAAUGGGGGAAACCCUGACCGAGCAACGCCGCGUGAAGGAAGAAGUAAUUCGUUAUGUAAACUUCUGUCAUAGAGGAAGAACGGUGGAUAUAGGGAAUGAUAUCCAAGUGACGGUACUCUAUAAGAAAGCCACGGCUAACUACGUGCCAGCAGCCGCGGUAAUACGUAGGUGGCGAGCGUUAUCCGGAAUUAUUGGGCGUAAAGAGGGAGCAGGCGGCACUAAGGGUCUGUGGUGAAAGAUCGAAGCUUAACUUCGGUAAGCCAUGGAAACCGUAGAGCUAGAGUGUGUGAGAGGAUCGUGGAAUUCCAUGUGUAGCGGUGAAAUGCGUAGAUAUAUGGAGGAACACCAGUGGCGAAGGCGACGAUCUGGCGCAUAACUGACGCUCAGUCCCGAAAGCGUGGGGAGCAAAUAGGAUUAGAUACCCUAGUAGUCCACGCCGUAAACGAUGAGUACUAAGUGGUGGGGGUCAAAGCUCAGUGCUGCAGUUAACGCAAUAAGUACUCCGCCUGAGUAGUACGUUCGCAAGAAUGAAACUCAAAGGAAUUGACGGGGGCCCGCACAAGCGGUGGAGCAUGUGGUUUAAUUCGAAGCAACGCGAAGAACCUUACCAGGUCUUGACAUCGAUCUAAAGGCUCCAGAGAUGGAGAGAUAGCUAUAGAGAAGACAGGUGGUGCAUGGUUGUCGUCAGCUCGUGUCGUGAGAUGUUGGGUUAAGUCCCGCAACGAGCGCAACCCCUGUUGCCAGUUGCCAGCAUUAAGUUGGGGACUCUGGCGAGACUGCCGGUGACAAGCCAGAGGAAGGCGGGGAUGACGUCAAAUCAUCAUGCCCCUUAUGACCUGGGCUACACACGUGCUACAAUGGACAGAGCAGAGGGAAGCGAAGCCGCGAGGUGGAGCGAAACCCAUAAAACUGUUCUCAGUUCGGACUGCAGUCUGCAACUUGACUGCACGAAGAUGGAAUCGCUAGUAAUCGCGAAUCAGCAUGUCGCGGUGAAUACGUUCUCGGGCCUUGCACA
rnacentral:rRNA from 1 species